rnacentral:lncRNA from 1 species
GGAAAUGCUGGAUGUGGAUGGGCUAAAUUUGAAUUUGAAUAGCCCGUUCACAAACUACUUCACUGGCCAGCCGGACGAUGCGGUUUGACGUUGUUGGUGAUGCUGUUCUGCUGCUGCUGCUGCUACUAUUCUCCUACUCUAUUUCUAUCUUUACUUCAUUGUCUUUUAUUUGCUUGGUUUGUAAUAAUAUUCUGAUGUUGCUUGGAUAUUGGC